ACGCGCGCUGGCGGCGUGCUUAACACCUGCCAGUCGCACUGAAAGGCCCUGCUUUUGUGGGGUGCUCGAGUGGCGAACGGGUGAGUAACACGUGAGUAACCUGCCCUUGACUUUGGGAUAACUUCAGGAAACUGGGGCUAAUACCGGAUAGGAGCUCCUGCUGCAUGGUGGGGGUUGGAAAGUUUCGGCGGUUGGGGAUGGACUCGCGGCUUAUCAGCUUGUUGGUGGGGUAGUGGCUUACCAAGGCUUUGACGGGUAGCCGGCCUGAGAGGGUGACCGGCAACAUUGGGACUGAGAUACGGCCCAGACUCCUACGGGAGGCAGCAGUGGGGAAUAUUGCACAAUGGGCGGAAGCCUGAUGCAGCAACGCCGCGUGCGGGAUGACGGCCUUCGGGUUGUAAACCGCUUUCGCCUGUGACGAAGCGUGAGUGACGGUAAUGGGUAAAGAAGCACCGGCUAACUACGUG
rnacentral:rRNA from 1 species